rnacentral:rRNA from 1 species
GUCGUAACAAGGUUUCCGUAGGUGAACCUGCGGAAGGAUCAUUACCUAGAGUUGUAGGCUUUGCCUGCUAUCUCUUACCCAUGUCUUUCGAGUACCUUCGUUUCCUCGGCGGGUCCGCCCGCCGAUUGGACAAUUUAAACCAUUUGCAGUUGCAAUCAGCGUCUGAAAAAACUUAAUAGUUACAACUUUCAACAACGGAUCUCUUGGUUCUGGCAUCGAUGAAGAACGCAGCGAAAUGCGAUAAGUAGUGUGAAUUGCAGAAUUCAGUGAAUCAUCGAAUCUUUGAACGCACAUUGCGCCCCUUGGUAUUCCAUGGGGCAUGCCUGUUCGAGCGUCAUUUGUACCUUCAAGCUCUGCUUGGUGUUGGGUGUUUGUCUCGCCUCUGCGCGCAGACUCGCCUCAAAAUAAUUGGCAGCCGGCGUAUUGAUUUCGGAGCGCAGUACAUCUCGCGCUUUGCACUCAUAACGACGACGUCCAAAAGUACAUUUUUACACUCUUGACCUCGGAUCAGGUAGGGAUACCCGCUGAACUUAAGCAUAUCA